rnacentral:rRNA from 1 species
AGAGUUUGAUCCUGGCUCAGAUUGAACGCUGGCGGUAUGCCUUACACAUGCAAGUCGAACGGUAGAGGAGCAAUCCUCGAGAGUGGCGAACGGGUGAGUAAUACAUCGGAACGUGCCCAGUCGUGGGGGAUAACGUAGCGAAAGCUACGCUAAUACCGCAUACGACCCGAGGGUGAAAGCGGGGGACUCGCAAGAGCCUCGCGCGAUUGGAGCGGCCGAUGGCAGAUUAGGUAGUUGGUGGGGUAAAGGCCCACCAAGCCUGCGAUCUGUAGCUGGUCUGAGAGGACGACCAGCCACACUGGGACUGAGACACGGCCCAGACUCCUACGGGAGGCAGCAGUGGGGAAUUUUGGACAAUGGGCGAAAGCCUGAUCCAGCCAUACCGCGUGCGGGAAGAAGGCCUUCGGGUUGUAAACCGCUUUUGUCAGGGAAGAAAUACUUCGGGCUAAUACCCUGGGGUGAUGACGGUACCUGAAGAAUAAGCACCGGCUAACUACGUGCCAGCAGCCGCGGUAAUACGUAGGGUGCAAGCGUUAAUCGGAAUUACUGGGCGUAAA